ensembl:misc_RNA Metazoa_SRP Metazoan signal recognition particle RNA
GCCAGGUGUGGUGGUGCAUGCCGGAAGUCCCAGCUACUCAGGACGCCGAGGUGGGAGGAUCGCUUGAAUCCAGGAGUUCUGAAUUGCGGUGCACUAUGCCCAUCAGGUAUCCACACUAAGUUUAGCAUCAAUAUGGUGACCUCCUGGGAGCGGAGGAAAACCAGGUGCCUAAAGAGGGGUGAGCCACCCGAGGUUGGCAAUGGAGCAGGUCAAAACUCUUGUAUUGAACAGAUUAAUACCAAUCUGAUUUCAAUAAUGUGUAAAACUGUACUCCUAUUUAAUUCUGUUUCCUCUCUAU